rnacentral:tRNA from 1 species
GGAAGCGUUUGCGGCGCCGGUGCACGCCCCGGACUUCAAAUCCGGUGUCCGGCUCUAGACAAGUCGGAGGUGGGUUCGACUCCCACACGCUUCCGCCA